CCUACGGGAGGCAGCAGUGAGGAAUAUUGGUCAAUGGGCGCGAGCCUGAACCAGCCAAGUCGCGUGAGGGAUGAAGGUUCUAUGGAUCGUAAACCUCUUUUAUAAGGGAAUAAAGUGUGGGACGUGUCCUAUUUUGUAUGUACCUUAUGAAUAAGGAUCGGCUAACUCCGUGCCAGCAGCCGCGGUAAUACGGAGGAUCCGAGCGUUAUCCGGAUUUAUUGGGUUUAAAGGGUGCGUAGGCGGCCUUUUAAGUCAGCGGUGAAAGUCUGUGGCUCAACCAUAGAAUUGCCGUUGAAACUGGGGGGCUUGGGGAUGUUUGAGGCAGGGGGAAUGCGUGGGGGAGCGGGGAAAUGCUUAGAUAACACGCAGAACCCCGAUUGCGAAGGCAGCCUGCCAAGCCAUGACUGACGCUGAUGCACGAAAGCGUGGGGAUCAAACAGGAAUAGAUACCCGGGUAGUC
rnacentral:rRNA from 1 species